rnacentral:rRNA from 1 species
UACGGAGGGAGCUAGCGUUGUUCGGAAUUACUGGGCGUAAAGCGCACGUAGGCGGCUACUCAAGUCAGAGGGGAAAGCCCAGGGCUCAACCCUGGAACUGCCUUUGAAACUAGGUAGCUAGAAUCUUGGAGAGGUCAGUGGAAUUCCGAGUGUAGAGGUGAAAUUCGUAGAUAUUCGGAAGAACACCAGUGGCGAAGGCGACUGACUGGACAAGUAUUGACGCUGAGGUGCGAAAGCGUGGGGAGCAAACAGG